ACAAAAACAAUUCUUCCUAUCUCUUUAAUUUAUAACAAACUUCAUAUAAACAAAAGAUAUUAUGGCUAUAACAAAAACUUUGGUGACUUGUUGCCUCCUAGUAACAUUACUAUUAGUAGUUUCGUUGUCUAACCACAACGUUUCGGCAUCAGAUGCAGCAGAGAUGAAAAAAAUGAGAUACACUUGCGGACGAACACCGUGUUCGUCCUCCAGUUACGGACAACAUGAAUGCAACCUUAGAUGUGUCGAGAGUCAUCAUGCAAGUGGAAAGUGUAGAUCUGCUUCCCCUUACGGACCUUUACGAUGUUGUUGCAUUGAUUAAUGAUAUUGAAUAUUUCUAUCUCAUCAAAUACAUUUAUAUAUACUCUUUAAGAGCUAAUUAACUCGUUACUAAUUACAUGUGGAAAAUCAAAAUAAAAUAUAAAAUGAUCCAUGAAAAA